UGGCAUCAGAUGAUGAGUUCAUAGUUCAGCUGAUUUCAUGAUUUAUACAUAUAUAUAUUCUUUCGCUCCUAACUGAUGAUGCCU